GGAGGAGGAGGAGGAGGAGAGGGAGGAGGCGGCGGCUCCUCUGUAUCCGGGUCACGCGGGAGCCGCCUCCAGCGGGACCGGGACCGCGACCGGGAGCGGGAACGGAGCGGGAACGGGAUUCGAACCGGGCUCGGAUUUGGGAUUUUUGGGGAUCCCCCAAAUUUGGGGUGAAGAUGCAGGAGAAUUACGAGAACGUCAUUUCCUUGGCCGAGGAGAUCGCCAUCAGCUGGCCGCGGAUCACCGCCUUCGCCGAAUCGCACCG